AGUGGGCAGGAAGAGGAGCAUCUGUAAAGCAAACUGGCUGCAGCCAAGAAGGAGUGGCCGCUCUCGAAUCCUCCGAGAAGGCGAGCGGGACAGGGACAGAGGCUGACGCUGGGUUCAGUUAUGAGCUGAUGGGUGACCGCGCCGUGCUGAUGGGGGCAGAAUGCAGAUGGCAGCGGGCUGUGAAGUGGACGCACCCAAGUUCUUGCUAGAAAUUUAGUGGCACAGGAAGGAAGCACAGAGAAGAGGGAGGAAGCCCCCCAGGAAGAGAGCUUUUGUCUGUUUCUUUUUCACGGGAGACAUGAGACAACCAAAAAAGGCAUGGAAAAUCUUUCCCGGUUGUCAUCGCCUCAGCCUGGAGGGUCAGCUAGUGCCUGUCCAUCCCUGCAGGGCAGCUGCCUCUCACUAGGAGGAGAAUGCUGGGUUUUGCACCUGGGAAGUCUCAGAAGGUGGGACAUUCGUUGGCUAAGUAGAAAGCUGAGCAGAUCUCAGCUGUCUCUCUGUUGAGUGCCCAAGCACACAUAGAACUACACACGUGGUAUCUCAGCAGUAAGGCCUGACAGCAAGG
rnacentral:lncRNA from 1 species